rnacentral:siRNA from 1 species
AGCGACUAACCAUUGUAUUGGGCC